AUUGAACGCUGGCGGCAGGCCUAACACAUGCAAGUCGAGCGGAUGAAGGGAGCUGGCUCCUGGAGUCAGCGGCGGACGGGUGAGAAAUGCCUAGGAAUCUGCCGGGGAGGGGGGGAUAACGUCCGGAAACGGGCGCUAAUACCGCAUACGUCCAGGGGGAGAGAGUGGGGGAUCUUCGGACUUCACGCUAUCGGAUGAGCCUAGGUCGGAUUAGCUAGUUGGUGGGGUAAAGGCCUACCAAGGCGACGAUCCGUAACUGGUCUGAGAGGAUGAUCAGCCACACUGGGACUGAGACACGGUCCAGACUCCUACGGGAGGCAGCAGUGGGGAAUUUUGGACAAUGGGCGCAAGCCUGAUCCAGCAAUGCCGCGUGUGUGAAGAAGGUCUUCGGAUUGUAAACCACUUUAGUUUGGAACGAAGGGCAGUAAGUUAAUACCUUGCUCUUUUGACGUUACCAAAAGAAUAAGCACCGGCUAACUUCGUG
rnacentral:rRNA from 1 species